GCCCGCCUAGCUCAAUCGGAUAGAGCGUCAGACUCUUAAACAAGCUAGGCGAUCUGAAGGCUGCGAGUUCGACCCUCGCGGUGGGCU